CUUUGGUGGCGACCGGCGCACGGGUGCGUAACGCGUAUGCAACCUACCUUUAACAGGGGCAUAACACUGAGAAAUUGGUACUAAUUCCCCAUAACAUUCGAGAAGGCAUCUUCUUGGGUUAAAGACUCCGGUGGUUAAAGAUGGGCAUGCGUUGUAUUAGCUAGUUGGUGAGGUAACGGCUCACCAAGGCAACGAUACAUAGGGGGACUGAGAGGUUAACCCCCCACAUUGGUACUGAGACACGGACCAA
rnacentral:rRNA from 1 species